rnacentral:rRNA from 1 species
UACGUAGGGUGCAAGCGUUAAUCGGAAUUACUGGGCGUAAAGCGUGCGCAGGCGGUGUUGUAAGUCAGAUGUGAAAUCCCCGGGCUCAACCUGGGAACUGCAUUUGUGACUGCACGGCUAGAGUGCGGCAGAGGGGGAUGGAAUUCCGCGUGUAGCAGUGAAAUGCGUAGAUAUGCGGAGGAACACCGAUGGCGAAGGCAAUCCCCUGGGCCUGCACUGACGCUCAUGCACGAAAGCGUGGGGAGCAAACAGG